GCACCAGGGAAGGGGUGAAUGUGCAAAUCCACAUGGAGCAGAGAUCUGCAGUGCUACUGAUAUGCUUGCUGGAGGAGGGCUCAGCUGGAAAGAGAAAACGGGAGGCCCCUGGUGAGCUGGGGAAGGGGAAGAGGAUGGCACUGGAACAGACAUCAUGGUAUCAGGUGGCACAUCAAGUGGCUGGGGACCCUACCUGGCUUUGAACUGCUCUGCCAAGGGGAACAUUAUGCCCAUGGAUGUGAUAUCGUCAACUCCCUCAAAAGCAAGCUAACAAGCAAAUUGACCUCCACAGCACCUCCACAGCACUGGGAGAGGAGCUUUCUCCCACGGAACAAUAGCCUUUCCACCUCUGAGGUAAAAGAGGUCCCAAGGACAGAACUGAACCUGCAAGACCCAUGGCCUCGUGGCCUGCCCUUCCUCCUUCCCUCCUUACCUCAUGUCUGUCUUGGGGGAGGGACAGUUUCCCUGUGGAGUUCAACAAGCUCCUCUUCCUGCAGCUUGUGAACAGGCUCUACUAACAGGUAUAUCAUCCACCUAUGCAACUCUUCCAGAAGCUGCCAGAUUUUCAGGAGCCCAUUACAAUGUGCAGCAUGGCCAUCCAGCACUGAGAAAUAAGCACAGCAGCUGCUGGAAAGCUAAGUGGGUUUUAUUCCUCCCCCAUUCCCCAGGAAGACUCUUUUUGUUGGGCCAUUUUGUUUGUUCGUUCAUUUGUUUGGUUUUUGUAAAAUUCAUUUGGGGGAAAUGAAGCUUGUGAGAAAUCGGUGCCCAUCCUGAACCCUCCCCAGUCUUUCGAACUCUGUGAAUGGAUGGAUCACCUACUGUGAUUAUAAUUUAGUGGAUUUUGUAGAACAAAAUAACUUCACACACAGACACAUGAGGUUCUUUCACUCUCCAUCAGCACAAGCUGCUUCUGCAAUCUUAGCUACUCACAUUAGUGAAAGAAAAAGCCUACCUAGAACAUGGUGAGAUGACACAGUACUUUGUAUCAGUCCCAUGGUCCCAACGUCCAUUAGCAGCGCCAUCAGCUGCCAUGACAUGAAUUCAGACUUUGGAUGGCAGCCCAUGAACCGGUCAGGGUGAAAAUUUGGCAGAUCCCAAGCCUGAGUCUAUGCACAUUUCCAGAAGCAGAUGCAGAGGGAGGAGCAGCUGAAAGCAGGCAUCACCUCCUGCUCGGCCAAGGCAGAAGCUGGUGGGCUCUGUGUGUGCUGCACCUGCCCCCCAGGAACAGCCUGUCCUCAGGGGCUGAGCAGAGGGGAGCGAGAGCAGUAGUGUGUCUGCUGGAGCAGCACUGCUCAGCUGACUGGGGAAACAGGGGUGACAACUAGAGCCCAGAAUAACAGGAUUUCACAAUUUCACUUUGGGAACCCAACAGCUUUUUCAAACUGAAAUGCUACAAGAAGGCCAUAACAACUGUGAGAAGUGUUUCACAUUGCUGUUCCUUGCUUUAAAAAUAUAUAUUUUUUUGGUGAUGAUGUGGGUUUAAACUCUCCACUCCUUCCAUCUCUGUUAGUGAUGUGCCGUGCUGGUGGAGAAGAAAUGCCCAGGGCAAAUCAGGAUAGUGACCCUGUGGCUUUGCAGCGGAGUGGGUUGAUCAGGAAGGGAGGCCAGAGUUUAAAAUCUUUCUCUGCCCCUAGAGGCAUGACAUAGCUAUCCACCCAGACGUGGCAUGGUGGGGUUCUGCAUGCUUGUGCACAGCUGGGAUCUCUGGCCCUGCAGAGGGUUGAUAUGUUUGCAGCAUUGGUGUGGUGACACCCAUCCACCCUUGCAGCAAGGGCUUUUCAGGGUGACAGGGCAUUGUUUGUUUUUCAUGAGAGGAAACUCCUGACCUGGUUUCUGUGAGGAGAUGGUGUGAAGUGUCACAUUUGCUGCAGAGAGUGGCAGGGAGCAGCGAUAAAAGCAUGGAGCACGCUGUGUUUGAGAACAAGCCGAUCCUUGGUGGCCAUCUGAAACUGGAGAGCUGCCGGAUCUGCUCCCUGGAUGAUGCUUUCCAGCUCUUCUCACUCUCCCCAAACCCAAUGUGCAAACUGUCAUUCCUCUGAGCUAGCCAAAACACUCCCCCUGAGCUCCUCUGAGGCUGUGCAUUCCCAUCAUUUUGGUCCCCUCCCUGCUGGGUGCCAUGAAAUGCCUUGCCAGGUGCAUGAUGACCAGAGGCAUGCUGGUGGCUACACCUCCCCAUACCCUGCCUUUGCACAGCCUUCAGCAGUGCUCCCUGCCCUGGCUUGCCCACUGCUUGCUUGCUGCACAGCAACCGCUGCACAUGCUGGCAUCACUUGGUGCUUUCCCAGAGAAUUUUGCAACUAAGUUAGAAGGCCUUGAAGUUUUGGUGGUCCUGGUGUCCAGACCAGGGAGGAGAGGAGAAGCAGAUCAGCUGUUGUGGCAGUGAGAGAGCAGGGGACAGCAUCAUGGUGAAAGCAGCAUAUCUUCUGGAGAAGUCUCCAAACAUGGGCUCUGUGCUUCAAUGCUGGGGCUGAGGGCAGCUGACAGAGGGCAGAGUAGGAUGUGAAUGCUCAGCGAGACAUGGGAGAAAGAGAGCUGCUUGAGAACAUCUGUAAAAGGCUUUGCAAAGGUGUUGGUUUUUACAGGAGACAGACAGCAAAAUGGGGCAGGAGGAUGUGGUGCUGGAGCAACGGUGCUGCAAGGCAGGGAGGGUUGGGGGAGAUGAAGCAGGGCAUUUGAUAGAGAAGCUCAGGAACAGAGUGGGCUUUCGAUGCAAUCUCUGCUUGCUCUGGCUGAGGAGAAAGGCAGGAGGUGUUCCUGAGCUGAGGUGCCCAAGCCAUGUCUCGCUGCAUUGUUGGAGCAGCAAUGUCGCCUCCAAGCCCAGCAGUGACAGCUUGAGUAUCAACCACAAUGGCUAAUGCAGCCACAAGGUGUAAAUGUCACUAAUGAAUAAAUUGCCUUGUGCCUUGGAGAGGCUAAUCCAUCAUGGCCAGAGACAGGGAUCUGACAAGCCUGGCUAUUUCAGACAUACCCAGUAGGGAGGAGGAACGCUUCAUUUCUGAGCCAUCCCCUCCACCUAGGGAAGCCGAUGCAGGGCUUGGCUCUGUGCUACUUCCCUUCUUCCCAGCCACAUGAGCUCAGGCUUCAUCCCUCUUCAAUGCAACUGAAGAAGCAUGAAAGGAUCUAGAUUAGCCAAAAGUGCCCUGUUAGCAGGGUGGUACAUGGGGCUAUCAGGUGAUUGAGGUUGGAGGGAAGCUGCUGGGCACAGGGCACAGGUUCUGGAGGGGUGAUGGAAUACACUGCUGGGUCCCCAGUGAUCAGGAGAGUUUGUGUUAGUUGUCUAUGUUUUAGAAGCGUGCUGUUUCCUCGUCACCCCACUGUGCUGUCCCACAGGCAAGGCACAGUACCCCCAUUUUCAGUACCCCCUGUGUGUGAAUCCCAGCCACCAGUGCCCUGGCUGACUGUGCAGAGGGCCAGCAGGUACCAAACAGGCAGGGACAACUCAGCCUAGACAAAUCCAGCUCCAUGGGAGCAAAGGGAAGCUGAACAUAGCAACCAUUUCUGUGCACAGCCUCUGCUCAUCCUUGUGGCAGCCUGCUCCUCCUCCCCCAGUCGGUGCUCAAAAUCAACCUGCCAUCCUGUUUGUGACAUAUGCCAGUGUGACACCUUGCAAAUCAAUGCCUGGGUCUCUGUGAGCAGAAACCGCCAGGCUUGGGAAGCUGGCCACUGUUUCCUGCUGCCGUGUGUGCUCUGCUCAGAGCAGUGGAAGCCGGGCUCGCCAUCUGCUGUGGGAGAGAGCCAGCUGGGUGCCCCUGCUCCGGCCUGAUGGGACAGCCUGAGGGCGAGCCCUUGUGUCAUUCCCCCUUCUUUACCGUCUGACCACUCCUGUCUCACCAUCUCUCUGGCACAGAGCCAUGGGUGGGGGGAUGCUCCCAGCUUGACUCUGCUAAGUGCUGCUGAUGCUGUGGUGGCAGUGCCCAAGCUUGUUCCCUCCUCCAGAUGGAGGCCCACAAGUGAGUCCCCCCCUCCUUAGAACCUGCCAGUACUCCUUGGAGAUAGAUCUCAUGGGAAAGUUAAGGUAUUUGUUCUGGCCCUGCACUCAGCACGGAGUGACCAGCUAGUUACCUGCCCUGUGGUAGCUGGACCUGGAACUGACAAGUGACCCACAAACAGCAGGAAUGUUCACACUCCAACAAUCUGCUUUUGCUGUCUGGCUGAAAUGGUUUCAGCCUUUGCAGACUGUCACAUAGUUGACUGUUGGUCUUGGGUGUGGGCAAGUGCUGCAGGCUGCUUGGUUUGGACUUUGCUUUUUGGCCAAGAGAUUGAUGGGAGAGAGGGCAAAGAGUUCUCCAGGCAAGCGCUACCUGUCCGGGCAUUCCUGCACCUGGCAGCCCAGGAGUGGGUUUGAAGGGUGAUUAAGUGCUGUUAACAGUCUCAAGCUGUUAGCAGGAAAAUAAGCAGUGAAUAUCCUGGAAAGCAAGUGAGAAGUUGUUCUGGUCAUGGCAUAUUUUCCCAAGCCCUUUUCUUUCCAUCUCUUGUCCUCACUGGCUCUGGUGACUAAUUCCUCCUCAUGUGUCUGCUAGCAUGUCUGCAGGAUCUCAUCGCUGCCCACCAAGCAUGAGCUUCCACUGCACAACUGGCUGACCAGCUGCAGCCCUGUCCUUGGAGCUACAGGCAGGCUUGCCUAGGACCGGGCCACCCCCAUUAAACCCCCACCCUUGCUGCUGGAGCUGUUGCUUCAUCAGCCUGAUGCUGAUCUGGGUCUUUUCUGCUGUUUCUGAACAUGAGUUCUCAUCUCAUUGAGGUGUGUCAUCCAGUGAAAAUAUUUUGUAAAUGCAAAUAAAAAUAAUUAAGUAUAUUCAAUACCUCGGUCUCGAGGAUGGGAAACAAGGAGUGGGAGUCGCCCAGAUAGGAAGGUUUCACAGCUGCUACUGCUGGUUAGGAAUUCUUCUGGACGUAGCCCCUGGAGCAUCCAUCAAUAGUUGGGAAGGGAGUUACACAAACCUGUGAGGGCUUGGGUCUGAGCCCUGUCAGCACCCCUGCUGUUGGGGCAGCCUCGCACUCCAUCCUUUCUGAUCUAUAUGGGCAUGACACGGUGCAGGUAAAGGUCCUGUUGGCCAGGAGCCAGCGGCACCGUCGGUGUCUGUAUCCAUCAGACAGGGCAAGGCAGAAGCGGGUACAUGGUGAAUAAAUUACUUUGUGAACACUGGAAAACUGUUUUUAUUUUCCAACUCUGUCAAUAUGAUCUAGCUCUGUCUGUCUCUCUAUAUGUGUACAAACAGUAUAUCACAAUGUUGCCUUUUUUGUUGGAAAUAUCAAAGUACAAAGAUUGUAAACCAAAUCGGUGUAAUAAAAGUUUCAGAUGAUUCAC
ensembl:lncRNA